UACGAAGGGGGCUAGCGUUGCUCGGAAUUACUGGGCGUAAAGGCGCGUAGGCGGCACUGUUAGUCAGGCGUGAAAGUCCUGGGCUCAACCUGGGAACUGCGCUUGAUACGGCAGAGCUAGAGGAUGGAAGAGGCUCGCGGAAUUCCCAGUGUAGAGGUGAAAUUCGUAGAUAUUGGGAGGAACACCUGUGGCGAAAGCGGCGCACUGGACCACAACUGACGCUGAGGCGCGAAAGCUAGGGGAGCAAACAGG
rnacentral:rRNA from 1 species